UAUGAAUCUAGCGGAAACACCUCUGUACAAACUAGAGUCUGGACACCAGUGUGCGGAAGUGCUUCUGCUACAUUUUUAGG
ensembl:miRNA